AGGUACUUUAAUACUUAUUCGAUAUUAUAUUAUAGUCGGUGUCAUUUAUUAACGCCUAAAAUUUAUUAUAUAAUAACAAAAAAAAGAGCUGGUAUGAAGAUAUGGAGAUGGAAGCGGCCACUGUUAUAGGUGAGAAGUUGGAAGGUAGGAUACAUAAGGUUAUUUCAUUUAUAUCUGUAAGUAACGAUAAAUCGUUGCUUGAUGAAAGACGAUUCCGAGCGCAGUUCGGUAAUUCAUAAUUCUUGCGAUUUUCGUUUAAAUUUGAUUUCAAAACGCUAAAAGAAAAAAAAAAAAUUCGUUCGAUGAUUUUGGAUAUUUGAUCACGUCUAGGUAAGUCCAAUAUAAGUAUUAAUACAAGUUUCAAGUCUCCACGUGUACCUAUAACCGAAUUACAGCAAAAAAAACUCCUAAAAAUUAAAAUUCCUUAAAAGUUCAAAAGUGGCUCAAAAGUUUUGGCGAUGAUACCGUUAAAAAUUAAAUCAAAAAGAC